GACGAACGCUGGCGGCGUGCUUAACACAUGCAAGUCGAACGGAAAGGCCCUGCUUUUGUGGGGUGCUCGAGUGGCGAACGGGUGAGUAACACGUGAGUAACCUGCCCUUGACUUUGGGAUAACUUCAGGAAACUGGGGCUAAUACCGGAUAGGAGCUCCUGCUGCAUGGUGGGGGUUGGAAAGUUUCGGCGGUUGGGGAUGGACUCGCGGCUUAUCAGCUUGUUGGUGGGGUAGUGGCUUACCAAGGCUUUGACGGGUAGCCGGCCUGAGAGGGUGACCGGCCACAUUGGGACUGAGAUACGGCCCAGACUCCUACGGGAGGCAGCAGUGGGGAAUAUUGCACAAUGGGCGGAAGCCUGAUGCAGCAACGCCGCGUGCGGGAUGACGGCCUUCGGGUUGUAAACCGCUUUCGCCUGUGACGAAGCGUGAGUGACGGUAAUGGGUAAAGAAGCACCGGCUAACUACGUGCCAGCAGCCGCGGUGAUACGUAGGGUGCGAGCGUUGUCCGGAUUUAUUGGGCGUAAAGGGCUCGUAGGUGGUUGAUCGCGUCGGAAGUGUAAUCUUGGGGCUUAACCCUGAGCGUGCUUUCGAUACGGGUUGACUUGAGGAAGGUAGGGGAGAAAUGGAAUUCCUGGUGGAGCGGUGGAAUGCGCAGAUAUCAGGAGGAACACCAGUGGCGAAGGCGGUUCUCUGGGCCUUUCCUGACGCUGAGGAGCGAAAGCGUGGGGAGCGAACAGGCUUAGAUACCCUGGUAGUCCACGCUGUAAACGGUGGGUACUAGGUGUGGGGUCCAUUCCACGGGUUCCGCGCCGUAGCUAACGCUUUAAGUACCCCGCCUGGGGAGUACGGCCGCAAGGCUAAAACUCAAAGGAAUUGACGGGGCCCCGCACAAGCGGCGGAGCAUGCGGAUUAAUUCGAUGCAACGCGUAGAACCUUACCUGGGUUUGACAUGGAUCGGGAGUGCUCAGAGAUGGGUGUGCCUCUUUUGGGGUCGGUUCACAGGUGGUGCAUGGCUGUCGUCAGCUCGUGUCGUGAGAUGUUGGGUUAAGUCCCGCAACGAGCGCAACCCUUGUUCACUGUUGCCAGCACGUUAUGGUGGGGACUCAGUGGAGACCGCCGGGGUCAACUCGGAGGAAGGUGGGGAUGACGUCAAGUCAUCAUGCCCCUUAUGUCCAGGGCUUCACGCAUGCUACAAUGGCUGGUACAGAGAGUGGCGAGCCUGUGAGGGUGAGCGAAUCUCGGAAAGCCGGUCUCAGUUCGGAUUGGGGUCUGCAACUCGACCUCAUGAAGUCGGAGUCGCUAGUAAUCGCAGAUCAGCAACGCUGCGGUGAAUACGUUCCCGGGGCU
rnacentral:rRNA from 1 species